GGGGAAAGGAGCCUGCCACGAUGGCACCAGCUCUACUUUCUUAUCGCUUCCUCCCCCUCUUCCACCCUCCCGUUUCGGCAAGUCGGCGUGUGCGGCUCAAUGGGGCUGGGGAGCCAGCGGCGCGGCAACGGCUGCUUCGAGCGUUUAAGAUGUCUGUCUUGCUAGCGAGAUUGUUUGUCAGAGCCUCAACGUGGGGGAUGGUAACUACUGCAGUGAAAAUGAAGUGCUGCAAGAUGAAUUGGAAUGUUGUGUCGAAACUGUGAUGGGUUCUGUGACUUUCAGGUGGAUCUUGGCCGUAAGGGGCAUAUAAGAACUCCAACGUAGUCAUGUUAUGGUUGUAAUUUAACUACUUGUUUCUGGCAUUUGGUUUAAUUACUGAAGGUCUGCAUGCUGCCCCAUAUACGGUGUACGUGUAGCUUAAGUUCAGGACAAAAGAAAUCCAGAAAUAUCUAGGAAGACACCAGUGGCCUGUAGCUCGUUGGGAUGGAUCCAGGAUGAUAGCCUGGCACCUGAGUGGCAUGGCCUCCGAGGGAGUGAUCUGGCAGACUUACAGGCUCCGCCUUUUACUGCUGUUGCGCAGCAGUCCAUACAGAGCCUAGCACUGCAGAGUACAGAUGGUGUUUGUUCAACCUUGCCCCACCUCCUCGCUUAUCUUUCAACUGCCGUGUACCUGUGGCUUCUCACAAGCUUCAUGCUCUUCUCCAACACCUUACCUCUUACAGGUGCUGAUAGCUUCUCCAAAUUUACGGUUAAUAGCUGUAGGAUGUUUUUAAAUUGCUGGAAAAGUUUGGGAACACUUAACAGCUUAAACACUGCUUAAUGUCAUGUCUAUAUAAAACUGUCUAUAUAAAACAGUAUGUGACUCAACUUAGUAACCCAUAAGUAUUGACCUAAAUAAACUAAGUUCUUGCUACUUAAAUCUGAUCUACAGCUUUCUGUGGAUAAAAAUACCCUACAGAAAUGUAGCACAUUGUUGUUCUGUUCACUCGAGCAAUAAAAAUGUAAAUAAGCAUGCAAAAA